CUCCAAUAGCGUAUAUUAAAGUUGUUGCGGUUAAAAAGCUCGUAGUUGAAUUUCUGCUUUGGACGACCGAUCGGCCUCGGGUGUGCAUCUGGUUUGACCGAAGCAUCCUUCUGGAGUACGUGCUGCACUUCACCGUGUGGUACGGAUUUCAGGACUUUUACUUGAGGAAUUAGAGUGUUUCAAGCAGCUUACGCCUUUGA
rnacentral:rRNA from 1 species